GAGGAUUUUAAAGUCCAGAUUUAAACUCAGUCUGACUUGGGUGUCCACUCCUACUCUCUUAACCACUUUGCAGAACAUCCUUUUACAGAAGUGAAAUCCCCAUGCUUGGAUAGUGCUAAAGAUACUCCUGACAAUUUCCAGCUGAUGUAUCCUGUUAGUACCAUUUAAACUAGUGCGGUUGCUCUAAGAAUGUACAAGCCUUCUUCAAAUUAGGGCUUCUUUGUUAUUUUGAAGCAUUUGAAAUGAAAACAUGAAAUUGGCUCUAAAUUGCUUUACCAUUAAAUCUCAAUGAAAGAAAAAAGCUUUCAUUAUUUGAAUGAUUUCAAUUGUAAAUUUUGAAUUAAAAAAUGAUUUCAG
rnacentral:lncRNA from 12 species